UAGGGAAUCUUCGGCAAUGGGGGGAACCCUGACCGAGCAACGCCGCGUGAGUGAAGAAGGUUUUCGGAUCGUAAAGCUCUGUUGUUAAGGAAGAACGAGUGAGAGAAUGGAAAGUUCAUACUGUGACGGUACUUAACCAGAAAGGGACGGCUAACUACGUGCCAGCAGCCGCGGUAAUACGUAGGUCCCGAGCGUUGUCCGGAUUUAUUGGGCGUAAAGCGAGCGCAGGCGGUUAGAUAAGUCUGAAGUUAAAGGCAGUGGCUCAACCAUUGUAGGCUUUGGAAACUGUUUAACUUGAGUGCAGAAGGGGAGAGUGGAAUUCCAUGUGUAGCGGUGAAAUGCGUAGAUAUAUGGAGGAACACCGGUGGCGAAAGCGGCUCUCUGGUCUGUAACUGACGCUGAGGCUCGAAAGCGUGGGGAGCGAACAGG
rnacentral:rRNA from 1 species